rnacentral:tRNA from 1 species
AAUCCGUCGACUUUAGAAAUCGUGAGGGA